GAACUCCUACGGGACGCAGCAGUAGGGAAUCUUCCACAAUGGGCGAAAGCCUGAUGGAGCAACGCCGCGUGGGUGAAGAAGGUCUUCGAAUCGUAAAACCCUGUUGUUAGAGAAGAAAGUGCGUGAGAGUAACUGUUCACGUUUCGGCGGUAUCUAACCAGAAAGCCACGGCUAACUACGUGCCAGCAGCCGCGGUAAUACGUAGGUGGCAAGCGUUAUCCGGAUUUAUUGGGCGUAAAGGGAACGCAGGCGGUCUUUUAAGUCUGAUGUGAAAGCCUUCGGCUUAACGGGAGUAGUGCAUUGGG
rnacentral:rRNA from 1 species